rnacentral:rRNA from 1 species
GCAAGUCGAGCGCGCCCUUCGGGGUGAGCGGCGGACGGGUGAGUAACGCGUGGGAAUAUGCCCUUCUCUAAGGAAUAGCCUCUGGAAACGGAGAGUAAUACCUUAUACGCCCUUUGGGGGAAAGAUUUAUCGGAGAAGGAUUAGCCCGCGUUAGAUUAGGUAGUUGGUGGGGUAAUGGCUUACCAAGACUACGAUAGAUAGGGGUUCUGAGAGGAUAGUC